GUGUGUGAAGAAGGCUUCGGGUUGUAUAGCACUUUUGUCAGGAACGAAACGGUGGGGGCUAAUACCUCCUGCUAAUGACGGUACCUGAAGAAUAAGCACCGGCUAACUACGUGCCAGCAGCCGCGCGUAAUACGUAGGGUGCGAGCGUUAAUCGGAAUUACUGGGCGUAAAGCGUGCGCAGGCGGUUGUGCAAGACAGACGUGAAAUCCCCGGGCUUAACCUGGGAAUGGCAUUUGUGACUGCACGGCUAGAGUGUGUCAGAGGGGGGUAGAAUUCCACGUGUAGCAGUGAAAUGCGUAGAUAUGUGGAGGAAUACCGAUGGCGAAGGCAGGCCCCUGGGAUAACACUGACGCUCAGGCACGAAAGCGUGGGGAGCAAACAGGAUUAGAUACCCUGGUAGUCCACGCCCUAAACGAUGUCAACUAGUUGUCGGGUCUUAAUUGACUUGGUAACGCAGCUAACGCGUGAAGUUGACCGCCUGGGGAGUACGGUCGCAAGAUUAAAACUCAAAGGAAUUGACGGGGACCCGUACAAGCGGUGGAUGAUGUGGAUUAAUUCGAUGCGACGCGAAGGACU
rnacentral:rRNA from 1 species